AGUCACUGACAUUAGAUACCCCCGUAGUCCCAGCCGUAAACAAUGUGCGUUAGGUGUGUCGGUAACCACGUGUUACUGAUGCGCCGAAGAGAAAUCGUGAAACGCACCACCUGGGAAGUACGGUCGCAAGGCUGAAACUUAAAGGAAUUGGCGGGGGAGCACCACAACAGGUGGAGCCUGCGGUUUAAUUGGAUUCAACGCCGGACAUCUCACCGGAUAAGACAGCUGAAUGAUUGUCAAUCUGAAGGUUUUACAUGACUAGCUG
rnacentral:rRNA from 1 species